rfam:Oryza rufipogon genomic scaffold, chr12
AAAGAUUACAGUUUUGUAUUUUUUAUGUUCGACGUUUGACCGUUCAUUUUAUUUAAAAAAAAUUAUGAUUAUUAUUUUAUUAUUAUUAGAUGAUAAAACAUAAAUAAUAUUUUAUUUGUGACUAAUUUUUUUAAUUUUUUUCAUAAAUUUUUGAAAUAAGACGAACGGUUAAACAUUAGAUACGAAAAUCCACGAUUGCAUUUAAA